rnacentral:rRNA from 1 species
UACGAAGGGUGCAAACGUUGCUCGGAAUUAUUGGGCGUAAAGCGCACGUAGGCGGCUUGGCAAGUCGGGUGUGAAAUCCCCAGGCUUAACCUGGGAACUGCAUUCGAGACUGCAUUGCUAGAGUAUGGGAGAGGGAAGUGGAAUUUCAGGUGUAGCGGUGAAAUGCGUAGAUAUCGGAAGGAACAUCAGUGGCGAAAGCGACUUCCUGGACCAGUACCGACGUUCAGGCACGAAAGCGUGGGGAGCAAACAGG